rnacentral:rRNA from 1 species
CCUACGGGAGGCAGCAGUGGGGAAUAUUGCACAAUGGGGGAAACCCUGAUGCAGCGACGCCGCGUGAGUGAAGAAGUAAUUCGUUAUGUAAAGCUCUAUCAGCAGGGAAGAAAAUGACGGUACCUGAGUAAGAAGCCCCGGCUAACUACGUGCCAGCAGCCGGGGUAAUAAGUAGGCGGCAAGCGUUAUCCGGAUUUACUGGGUGUAAAGGGAGCGUAGACGGCAGUGCAAGUCUGGAGUGAAAGGCGGGGGCUCAACCCCCGGACUGCUCUGGAAACUGUACGGCUGGAGGGCGGGAGAGGUAAGUGGAAUUCGUAGUGUAGCGGUGAAAUGCGUAGAUAUUAGGAAGAACACCAGUGGCGAAGGCGGCUUACUGGACUGUAACUGACGUUGAGGCUCGAAAGCGUGGGGAGCAAACAGGAUUAGAUACCCGUGUAGUC